UACGAGGGGGGCAAAUGUUGUUCGGAAUCACUGGGCGUAAAGGGAGCGUAGGCGGGCUUUUAAGUUAGGUGUUUAAUCCCGGGGCCCAACCCCGGUCGUGCACUUAAAACUGGGAGUCUUGAAUAGUGGAGAGGUCAGUGGAAUUGGGGGUGUAGCGGUGGAAUGCGUAGAGAUCCCCAAGAACACCAGUUGCGAAGGCGGCUGACUGGACACAUAUUGACGCUGAGGCUCGAAAGCAUGGGGAGCAAACAGG
rnacentral:rRNA from 1 species